UGGCCAGACUCCUACGGGAGGCAGCAGUGGGGAAUAUUGCACAAUGGGGGAAACCCUGAUGCAGCGACGCCGCGUGAGUGAAGAAGUAUUUCGGUAUGUAAAGCUCUAUCAGCAGGGAAGAAAAUGACGGUACCUGACUAAGAAGCCCCGGCUAACUACGUGCCAGCAGCCGCGGUAAUACGUAGGGGGCAAGCGUUAUCCGGAUUUACUGGGUGUAAAGGGAGCGUAGACGGCAUGGCAAGUCAGAUGUGAAAGCCCGGGGCUCAACCCCGGGACUGCAUUUGAAACUGUCAGGCUGGAGUGCAGGAGAGGUAAGUGGAAUUCCUAGUGUAGCGGUGAAAUGCGUAGAUAUUAGGAGGAACACCGGUGGCGAAGGCGGCCUGCUGGACUGCGACUGACGUUGAGGCCCGAAAGCGUGGGGAGCAAACAGGAUUAGAUACCCCAGUA
rnacentral:rRNA from 1 species